GGGCAGGGCGUUUAGGGUUCCACCGCCAUACGGCGGGUUCGGUCCGAGAAAUGCCACCCGGCGGGCAAACUCCCGCAGGGCACACGGCGGGGCAAAAUCCCGGGAGAC
rnacentral:sRNA from 2 species